AAAGAAAGCGUAAUAGCUCACUGGUCGAGUCGGCCUGCGCGGAAGAUGUAACGGGGCUAAACCAUGCACCGAAGCUGCGGCAGCGACGCUGAUGCGUUGUUGGGUAGGGGAGCGUUCUGUAAGCCUGUGAAGGUGUACUGUGAGGUAUGCUGGAGGUAUCAGAAGUGCGAAUGCUGACAUAAGUAACGAUAAAGCGGGUGAAAAGCCCGCUCGCCGGAAGAC
rnacentral:rRNA from 1 species